GGAAUUCUCUGCCAGUUUAGACACACUCCCCUAGUUACAAGUUCGUGCUCUGGAUCACGUCGCAGAUAAAGCACCACAAUAACAAUUCAGAGUAAAUGUUCUUUACAAAAAAAAAACAAAAAAAAUAAAAAAAAAAGCACACCCAAGAGGGAAAAGGAAAAAAUUAUACCUAUUAUCAAUAUUGUGCCUGCUACGUAAUCCUAUCCCACGGUUGUCAAGACAACAGGACUCUAAACAUCCGUUCGCGCAUUUUACUUAACAGAAUCGCCAUAGGGUACCAGUUUGUGCCUCUAUACGUACCCUGUUUUUAUUGCCCGGCAGUAGGCUACCACGUUUAGGAUGUAAGUGUUGUCAAAACUAACUCCGGAAUGAAUAGCACUGAAGUCCGUGCAUCAGACUAUACUGAUGCUGAGAAACAGCAUACGACUACUGACAGCACAAAACGGAACACAGAGUCUUCGGGCAGACAGUAUGUCAAUGUGUUGUUGGAUCUCAGCGAAGAGGAUUGUUGCAGGGAGCACAGCAUAAAUUUGCUUCAGAGCCGCACUGGCUGGGAAGAUGCGGUUGAAGGUUGGGGGAGAUUUCCUUCUUUUGGGGUAUUUCUUCAACCUCCAAGGAAGGGGAAAAAAAUCAAGCAAGACUUCAUAGACUCUCACUGUCUCCUCUGUGCAGACCUUAAUCUUUCUGAUUUGCCAAUCUACUGCUCUGCUGGAAAUGCUUUGAAAAGUUUCAGAAAGACUGAUCCAACCAUUCUAGAUCUUGCAGAAGAAACUGACAAUUCCUCUUCAGAUGAACUUUACUCUCUCAGUUUAUCUCUGCAAAAUAUGUCAGAACCAUUAAUGAACAAAUUGCUGUCUGGAGAUGAACAGUGUACACAAAAAUCACCAUCAGUCUGCUAUUACCAUACAGAACCGUGUCAAAUCCUGAAGGAAAAUACAGUUGCUCUUAGCAUCAGAAGCUUUCGUGUGUUGCCACCUGUCAAAGAGUCCAGAAACCUGAGGAAGAGUCUUUUUAAAAGAGUGGAGCCAACAGAUUUCCAUCCAGCAGAAGUUGUCACCAAAGCCAUAAUGCCAGAUGCCACCAGAGCGGUCACUGCUGAUGAAAGAUUGAGUGUCAGUGGUGACCCAGGAAAUGUCUUCAAGGUCCUCACAGACUUUAUUCCAAAAGAGAACGGCUACAGGUUAAAGGAAGCUCCCUGCACAAAGCAUUGGCUGUCCCAGGAAAGCAAUCACCUGCCAUCUAUUUUUAACAUAACUUUUCAAAAUAAGUAUAAUUUACCCUCCAGCACUGUGUCAAAUACAUUACCACAGGCUUUCUAUGCCCUGGGAAGAAACCUCAGGCAGGAAGAAUUGACAAGGCCUUCUACCAGGAGCAACAUCAGUUAUAGACUGUAUUCUAGCCACAAAGCAAGAGAUCUGAAAAGACCUGAAGCUCAUCGACUAAUGCUGAUUGGAACGAGAUUUCACAUGCCUAUGUGAAUAUAAUUGAUCUUUGAACUCUCUGUACAUUGUUGCACCAUAUUGUUUGGAGAAAAAUAAGUGUUUAGAGACUAAGAACAAAAGCUUCACACUUCAGUUUUCUUCAAAAUGUGUGCUACAUGAAGAUGACUAUGCAACAUAAGAUAAAGAGAAGUCUGAUGGUUUUUCUGGGAAUGCACCAUCUAAUUACUCAGAACCAUACUAUUUUACUAUGCAUGUUCAGUGUUCAAACUAGCUAAACACUGUCCAACAUUCACAAAAAAAAACAAAAAAAACAGAUUAACAGCUGAAUUCAGGUGUGUAGGCUAGUUAAUCCUUUACAAAUAUACAACUGAAUAGUACUUUAUAUCCUUUGCUAUUUGUAUAUGGUUUUACUAAAAUCAUAAGAGAUAAUCAAAAAAAAAAAAAAAAAAUGUAACCUUCAAUGGUUUUUGAUUUUUUUUUCUUCAAAGUAUUAUUUUGCUUCAAAGUAUUAUGAUUCUAUGAAAUGUAUCACAACUAGGGAAUGUAGUAAUGUACUGUUCUACUGUGUCCAGCUGAAUGUACCAAAAAUAUUCUGAUUUAGAACACAGUAAUUUGCAGACACUUAUAUUUGCUCAGGACAAUAGAAGGAAAUAAAACACAUUAUUGUAU
ensembl:lncRNA